ensembl:lncRNA
CCGGGCGCGGUGGCGGCGGCGGCGGCGGCGACAGCAGCGACGCGGCCGGGCUCGGCCAAGGAAGUUAGAGCAAGUUCGGCGGCGCGGGGCGGUAGGGCGCGACUCAGGCCGUCCGAGCGCGGGGGCGGGGCGCGGAGGGCGGGGCCGGGGGCGCGGCGCCGGGUGGCUGCUGAGAAAGGGGCGCCGCUUCCCUGGGCCUCCCGGCGCGGCGCCGCCCUCCGCGCCCGGCCCCCGCCUAUAGCCCCGCCCCCGCCCCGCCCCUCCCGGCCUUCCAGUCCGCGCCCGGGCUGAGCCCGCGGGGCCCCGGGCCCCUUCGAACCAGUCUGGGCGGGGCGGGAGGCGAAGGCGGCCCUGGUCGGCGCUCGCCGGGUGGGUUCGUGGCGCAGGCCUAGGCGGGACCCGCACCCCGCGUUUGGGGCCUCCGCAAUAUGCGGACGCCACGUCGGCGUUGUCACUGACCCAACCGGAACCCAGCCUCCUUGAGAGCGCGAGCUCUGGGGGCCACGUUUCGCGGCGGGGCACGACGAGGGUGACCGGGUAGAGAGGGGUAUGCAGCCAGCCUCUGACACCCAGACAGCUCAGAGACCUUGGAGAACUGCCCAUCCGUUCAUCUAGAGGAGAUAGUGGGUGUUUGAUUGAGUGCCCGGCCCUGAUUUGAUGCUCAGGAUACAGCCAUAAACAAGACAGCGGAAGCCUCUUACUCCAUAAAGCUGAUUUUUGGUGAUGGAGACAUAAUUGCAAGUUGAAGUAAAUGCUGGGAGAAGAACAAGGGACUGGGUUAGAAGAUAGGAGCCAUUAAUUCUUUAGGUGGAGCCAGCAGGAAAAAUGUCUUUGAGGAGUUGAUGUUGGAAUUCAAGUCAAGAGAAUGAGGAGAUAGUGCUGGGAAAAGCCAGGGAGAGAAAUUCUCCCAAAUCAAAAACAGCUUGUGCCAAGGUCCUGAGAAAGGGAUAGAGUCACCAAAGUUUGGCAAGGUAUAAACCCAUCCAUGAGAAAGACUACAUUCUCCCAGCCACUGUUACAUAAUCUGAAACUGAACCCAUGAAAUCUCCAAGGAAUGCACGUGCAGCCCUUAAUCCUGGCCAGUAGGAUGUGAGCAAAAGUGAUACAUGCUUCUUCUAGGUCAUACCUUAAGAGAAAGAAGUACGUUUAACCUUUGACAAAAUUCAACAUCCUUUCAUGAUAGGAUUGAGUAUGAUUAAGUAUGGAAGGAUCUGUUCCAUACUGACAGAUUAAGUAUGGAAGCAUUAUUCCUCAACCCACAGCUCACGUCAUACUCAAUGGUGUAAAGUUAAAAGCCUUUCCUCCUAGGAUCAGAAAUAAGACAAGGAUGCCCACUACCACCAUUUCUAUCCAACAUAGGACUGGAAGUCUUAGUCAAAUCAAUUUGGCAAGAAAAAAAUAAAUAAAUAAAAGGCAUCUAGUCAGAAUUUCAUCAGAAUGAAAUCUGUUUACAGAUCACAUGAUACAGAUCACUCUGAAGGCCACCCUGAAACUGCUAAAACUCAUAAAUGAAUUUAGUAAAGUUGCAGAUAUAAAACCAAUAUAUAAAAAUCAAUUGUAUUUCUGUACACUAACAACAAGCUAUCUAAAAGAGCAAGAAAGCAACCUAAGCUUUCUAAGUUAAUAGAUAGCUAAGCUAAUAGACAUCUAUCACUGGAGAAGGAAAUGGCAACCCAAUCCACUAUUCUUACCUGGAAAGUCCCAUGGACAGACGUGCUUGGCAGGCUACAGUUCAUGGGGUCACAAAGAGUCAGACACAACUGAGUGAGUGAGCGCACGGUAGACAUGUGUAAGCACAUUCCACACAGCAACUACAGAACACAUUCUGCUCAAGUGCCUGGGAAACACUCUGGGCGCUUAUUUGGCUGCUUCACGUCUUAGUUGCAGCACAUGGCAUCAGGCUUAGUUUCUGUGUGGCAUGUGGGGUCUUAGUUCCCCAACCAGGAAUCAAACUCACAUCCCCUGCACUGCAAGGUGGGUUCUUAACCACUGGACCAGGGAAGUCUCCCUAAAAAACAUUCUUAAGUAUAGACCAUAUGUUAGGCAAUCACAUAAAUCUUUAAAAAGUAAAAUAAUUGAAAUCAUACAAAAGCUUAUUCUCUGAUCACAAUGGAAUGAAAUUAGAAAUCAUUAACAAAAGGAAAUUUGAGGAAUUCACAAUUAUGUGGAUAUUACGCUUCCCUGUUAGUUCAGACAAUAAAGAAUUUGCCUGCAAUGCAGGAGACCUGGGUUCAAUCCCUGGGUUGGGAAGAUCCCCUGGAGGGGAAUGGCAACCCACUCUGGUAUUCUUGCCUGGAAAAUCCCAUGAACAGAGGAGCCUGGUGGUCUCAUGGGUCCAUGGGGUCUCAAAGAGUCAGACAUGACUGAGCGACUAGCACACAAACAACAUACUCCUAAAUAACUAAAAGGUCAAAGAUGAAAUCAAAAAGGAUAUUAGGAAAUAUUUUGAAAUGAAUGAAAACAAAAACACCGCAUACCAAAGUUUAUGCAACCAACACAGUGCUUAGAUGGAAAAUUAUAGCUGUAAACAUCUAUAUUUAAAAAAAAGGAAGAUCUCAAAUCAAUAACCUAACCUUGUACCUCAAGAUACUAAAAAAGAAGAGCAAACUAAACCCAACACAAACAGAAGGAAGGAAAUAAUAGAGAUUAGUGCCAAAAUAAAUGAAAUAAAAAUGUAGAAAAAAUGGAAAGAGGAAAUCAACAAAACCAAAAGCUGAUUCUUUAAAAGGAUCAACAAAAUUGACAAAUCUUUAGCUAGACUAGUAAGAAAAAAAAAGACUCAGUUUAUUAAAAUCAUUAAUAAAAAGGGCCAUUAUUUUAUUUUCAGAAAUAAAAAAGAUUAUAGCAAAAAAGAAAGCAAUCUCAUUUACAAUAGCAUCCAAAUAAUUAAAUAAACCAAGGAGGUAAAAGACCGGUACACUGAGAAGUAUAAGACAUUGAUGAAAGAGCCUAAAGAGGAUACAAGAAAAAAAAAGGGAAGGAAAAGAAGAAGACACAAAUAAAUGGAAAGAUAUUCCAUGUUCCUGGAUUGGAAGAAUUAAUAUUGUGAAAAUAUCCAUUCUACCCAAAGGAAUUUACAGACUCAGUGUAAUCCCUAUCAAAUUUCUAAUGGCAUUUUUAGAAUACCUUUUAGGGAAACCUAUCGUAAAACCCUAAAUAGCCAAAGAAAUCCUAAAAAAGAACAAAUCUAGAGGCAUCACACUUUCUGAUUUUGCACUGUAGGGAACAUUCCAUGCAAAGAUGGGCACAAUUAAGGACAGAAAUGGUAUGGACCUAACAGAAGGAGAGAUAUUAAGAAGACGUGGCAAGAAUACACAGAAGAUCUAUACAAAAAAGAUCUUCAUGACCUAGAUAACCACUAUGGUGUGAUCACUCACCUAGAGCCAGACAUCCUAGAAUGCGAAGUCAAGUGGGCCUUAGGAAGCAUCACUACGAACAAAGCUAGUGGAGGUGAAUUCCAGUUGAGCCAUUUCAAAUCCUAAAAGAUGAUGCUGUGAACAUGCUGCACUCAAUAUGCCAGCAAAUUUGGAAAACUCAGCAGCGGCCACAGGACUGGAAAAGGCCGUUUUCAUUCCUAUCCCAAAGAAAGGCAAUGCCAAAGAAUGCUCAAACUACCACUCAUUUGCACUCAUCUCACAUGCUUGCAAAGUAAUGCUCAAAAUUCUCCAAGCCAGGCUUCAACAAUAUAUGAACUUCCAGAUGUUCAAGCUGGAUUUAGAAAAGGCAAAGGAACCAGAGAUCAAAUUGCCAACAUCCGUUGGAUCAUCGAAAAAGUGAGAGAGUUCCAGAAAAACAUCUGCUUUAUUGACUAUGCCAAAGCCUUUGGCUGUGUGGAUCACAACAAACUGUGGAAAAUACUUCAAGAAAUGGAAAUACCAGACCACCUGACCUGCCUCCUGAGAAAUCUAUAUGCAGGUCAAGAAGCAACAGUUAGACCUGGACUUGGAACAACAGAUUGGUUCCAGAUCGGGAAAGGAGUACGUCAAGGCUGCAUAUUGUCACUUGCUUAUUUAACUUAUAUGCAGAGUACAUCAUGUGAAAUGCCAGGCUACAUGAAGCACAAGCUGGAAUCAACAUUGCUGGGAGAAAUAUCAAUAACCUCAGAUAUGCAGGUGACACCACCCUUAUGGCAGAAAGUGUAGAGGAACUGAAAAGCCUCUUGAUGAAAGUGAAAGAGGAGCGUGAAAAAGUUGGCUUAAAACUCAACAUUCAGAAAACUAAGAUCAUGGCAUCUGGUCCCAUCACUUCUUGGCAAAUAGAUGGGGAUUUCCCUAAUAGAAACAGUGAAAGACUUUAUUUUCUGGGGCUCCAAAAUCACUGCAGAUGGUGACUGCAGCCAUGAAAUUAAAAGAUGCUUGCUCCUUGGAAGAAAAACUAUGACCAACCUAGAUAGCAUAUUAAAGCAUCAGAGACUACUUUGCCAACAAAGGUCAGUCUAGUCAAAGCUUUGGUUUUUUCAGUAGUCAUUUAUGGAUGCAAGAGUUGAACUAUAAAGAAAGUUGAAUGCCAAAGAAUUGCUGCUUUUGAACUGUGGUGUUGGAGAAGACUCGAGAGUCCCCUGGACAGCAGGGAGAUCCAACCAGUCAAUCCUAAAGGAAAUCAGUCCUGAAUAUUCAUUGGAAGGACUGAUGUUGAAGCUGAAGCUCCAAUAUUUUGGCCACCUGAUGUGAAGAGCUGACUCAUUGGAAAAGAUCCUGAUGCUGGGAAAGAUUGAAGGCAGGAGGAGAAGGGGACGACAGAGGAUGAGAUGGUUGGAUGUCAUCACCAACUCAAUGGACAUGAGUUUGAGUAAGCUCCAGAAGUUGGUGAUGGACAGGGAAGCCUGGCAUGCCACAGUCCAUGGGCUCCCAAAGAAUCGGACAUGACUGAGCGACUGAACUGACGGACUGAAUGUUUGUGGUGAUCCACACAAAGGCUUUUGCAUAGUCAAUGAAAAGGAAAUAGAGGUUUUUCUGGAAUUCCCUUGCUUUCUCUAUGAUCCAAUGGGUGUUGGCAAUUUGAUCUCUAGUUCCUCUGCCUUUUCUAAACCUAGCUUGUACAUCUGGAAGUCCUCAGUUUACAUAUUGCUGAAGCCUAGCUUGAAGGAUUUUGAGCAUAAAAUGAGUGCAAUUGUACAAUAGUUUGAACAUUCUUUGGCACUGCCCUUCUUUGGGAUCAGAAUAAAAACUCACCUUUUCCAGUCCUGUGGCCAUCAGCAAAAGGUUUUGUAGCCUCAGCUCUGGGGGCUUAAUUCAGAGCUCUUUUGUCUUCUUCAAAAUGUUGGUACUGACCUGUUUGGGAUCCUAUAACAUCAUAUUUCUGUAACUCUGUUUUACCCCAUAAAGUGAGGGGUAGGAUCAAGAUUUUAACUCAUUGAGUCUAUGGUGGGAGUAUUUCAAGUAGGAAAUGGAACCAGCGUGUCUUGCUGGAUGUAGAGAGUAGUUUGAGGCAUUAUUUGUUGGAAAGAAGCUCUGCCAGGAGAGGAGUUUCCAGAGACCUGGCCUCUGCCUCUGGCUACUCCGUGACCUCUCCCAUUCUAAAUAUGGCUGGGCCAGCCCUGAGCAUGUACUUGUGUAAUGAGAAGGUUCUCUCGCCAACUCUUUGGUUCCUCUGAAUCAAGAGAGACAGGAUAAGUGCUCAUUUCUUUUUUUCUUUCCCAGGUUUUAAAAUGAAUUAAUUUUCCAGUAUCAUCCAAAGACUUUUUAAUUUUUUUUUUUAGCGUUUAAAAAUUUUUAAAGGAUUGUUGUGAACUUAUGAAUUUAAACAUAUCUUAUAUGUUCUAAUCCAUCUUAACUAAAGAUGCUCAUGUUGUCCCAUCUUUUGCAAGAAAGAACCCUUCACGGUAGAUCUUGAGUCCUUUCUUUCUACAAGCCUUCAGCGGUUUUGGAGCACUUGCUUGAUAACUGAUAUGACAAGAUAUUCCAGCAUCCUAACUGGUCUCCAUGGCUGAUCUUCUAUCAUCGAUCAUCGAAAAGCAAUCAGAAUAAUGUAAGUCAAAUCAUUCCUCUGCUCAAAACCCUCCAAAGGAUUCCCAUCUCUCAGUAAAAUUCAGACGUUUUACCAUGGUAUGCCAGAACAUGGUGUACAUUUCCACCAUCUAUCUCACCACCUUCUCAUCUUGUUACCAAGGCCAAGGUCAUACUGCUUGCCUCAUGCCAGGCCAAUAAAUCGAGAGAGGGAUUGUUGGGGCAAGGAAUAGCGACUUUAUUUAGAAAGCCAGCAGACCGAGAAGAUGGUGGACUAGUGUCCCGAAAACCAUAUUACCUGAGUUAGAAUUUGGGGCCUCUGAAAGGAGAGGCAGGUGGCUGGUUGUUGCAUACUUCUUGAUGCAGGGAUCCUUUAUGACUGCCACUGUCCACAUAGGUGUGGCUACAGUGUUCCUGUAAACCUCCAAGAAGACAGGUGCUAUUUUCUGUUCUUCAACUUUUUAAAAGUCAGAGCCUUGAGACUGGACUAUUGUGUUUUUCAGGCUUUAGGCAACACUCAUUCACAAAGGCGCAGCGCCAGCGUGACUACGCACAGGCAAAGAGCACAGGAGUUGGAGCUAAAGGAGUAGAUCCAAUGAGUCAGGGUUGUUUUUCUCUCUUAGACAGUCUCAUCUACCUCUGCCCCCUCACCUAUGUUGUUACAGCCACACUUGCUUUCUUUUUAUUCCUUGACUAUAACAAUCCCAUCCCCACCUUUGGGCCUUUGGAUCUGCUGUUUCCUCAUUGAUGUGAGAAGGGUAAUGCUUUUGAGAAAUCAGUGUAUUGAGAAAGAGAACGAAGAACCAGGUAAAUAAAGUAGGCUCUCCCAUUUUCCCAUGCCUACGUACUUUCCCUCUGAGGUUCAGAGGCUUGAUCCUAUCUGAAAUGACCUCUUUACUAUCCUGUGCACCGACCCAGAUCUUCUCCACCCUGAAGAUUCAGCCCAGGCUUCCCCUACAUCCAUGUCCAUGCCAUCCCUGACCCUUGCCAUCCAAAGACCAUUUUACAAAAAUCAUCACAGACUACCAAAGGCAGUCUGGUUCUGGGUAAAUUCUCUUUUAAGGUGUGAGCGCUGGUCUAGACUUGAUGCUAAAUUCUUUGAAGAUGCUUCUCAACCUUAGUUGCAUAUUGGAGUCACCCAGGAGCUUUCAGAAAUGUUUUAUCUGUGUCCCACCCCCGAGAUUCUGAUUUAAUGGGCCUGGGUGUGUGUCCAGGGCAUCAGAAUCUUUCCAACUUCCUCAGGUAAUUCUAUCGUGCCAACAUUUUUAAGAACCAUCAGCUUUCCUGCAAGGACUCUCUCUCUGCAGGUAGUUUAAAUUAUUAUGGAUUCUUGAUUAGUUUAUAAAAUAAAGAAAAGGGAACAUGCUACUGCUUGUCAAAGGCUGCUGAAGCUUCAAGCCCGAGGUACACAGAUAUUAACAGGUUUGCUCUGUAGGGUCGUUAGAUUCUUGCUUCUCAAAGUGUGGUCCAUGGGUCACUAGAACAUCAUUACCAGGAGCCUGUUAGAGGUGUGAAAACUCAAGCCCCGCCCCUCCUCCAGUCUUGAGAACUGUGUAACUUUCAGUACAAAUGGUUUUGUCCAGCCCCCACAGUAGGAGACCUGAACAAAACUAUGCUCCCUAGCAUAGUUUUUAGCACUCAAGGUUUCUUGGGGAGAUCCAGCCCCCUGAGUCCUUGCCUGGGGAAGCUCAAGGCUGUCAAAAGAAUUUACCCAUUGCUCCAGCCAAACAUCUGACCAUAGGCCUCUGACCUACAUUUUCUUUUUUUAAGUUGAUGUAUAUUUUAUUUUUUUAAACUUUUUAUUUUAUAUUGGAGUAUAGCUGAUUAACAACAUUGUGAUAUUUUCAGGUGGACAGCAAACAGACUCCAUUUUCUUCCUUUUGUUUUUUUUUCCCUUUCCUUAGAGCAUUUACUUUAAAAAAAAGGAAAGAAAAAACCCCUCACAACUGUAAAUGUUCUCUGUCCCUUUAAGAUGUGUAUGUUAUCUCCUGAAACCCAGGAGUAUCUUCCUUAAGAACCUGGGGGCAUCCCUCUGAAAUGUCCUCAGCAAGACAGAUAGGGCUCCAUCUUCCAGUCUCUGUGGAAGGAUGGAAACCUAACCUGCUGAAUGAGCCAGUUAGCAGAGACAGCCUGAUCACAGUGAUCAGUGCCCCCCACCUGCCGUUUGUAAUUUUCCACCACUUUGACUUUGUUCAAAUCCCAGCUCAUCUCCCCUCCCACUCCUUCAUCUUCCCUUUAAAAUUCCAGUCACCUUUGUGCACAGCCUGGC